rnacentral:tRNA from 1 species
GAGAAAGAUUCAAGAACUGCUAAUCCUUGGCACCAUAAAUAAAAUUAUGGCUUUCU